rnacentral:rRNA from 1 species
UACGGAGGGUGCAAACGUUGCUCGGAAUUAUUGGGCGUAAAGCGCACGUAGGCGGACUGUUAAGUCGGACGUGAAAGCCCUCGGCUUAACCGAGGAAGUGCAUUCGAAACUAGCGGGCUUGAGUUCGGGAGAGGGAAGCGGAAUUCCGGGUGGUAGCGGUGAAAUGCGUAGAUAUCCGGAGGAACACCGGUGGCGAAGGCGGCUCCUGGACCGACACUGACGCUGAGGCGCGAAAGCGUGGGGAUCAAACAGG